AAAUUGAAGAGUUUGAUCAUGGCUCAGAUUGAACGCUGGCGGCAGGCCUAACACAUGCAAGUCGAACGGUAACAGGAAGCAGCUUGCUGCUUCGCUGACGAGUGGCGGACGGGUGAGUAAUGUCUGGGAAACUGCCUGAUGGAGGGGGAUAACUACUGGAAACGGUGGCUAAUACCGCAUAACGUCGCAAGACCAAAGAGGGGGACCUUCGGGCCUCUUGCCAUCAGAUGUGCCCAGAUGGGAUUAGCUAGUUGGUGAGGUAACGGCUCACCAAGGCGACGAUCCCUAGCUGGUCUGAGAGGAUGACCAGCCACACUGGAACUGAGACACGGUCCAGACUCCUACGGGAGGCAGCAGUGGGGAAUAUUGCACAAUGGGCGCAAGCCUGAUGCAGCCAUGCCGCGUGUAUGAAGAAGGCCUUCGGGUUGUAAAGUACUUUCAGCGGGGAGGAAGGUGUUGUGGUUAAUAACCACAGCAAUUGACGUUACCCGCAGAAGAAGCACCGGCUAACUCCGUGCCAGCAGCCGCGGUAAUACGGAGGGUGCAAGCGUUAAUCGGAAUUACUGGGCGUAAAGCGCACGCAGGCGGUCUGUCAAGUCGGAUGUGAAAUCCCCGGGCUCAACCUGGGAACUGCAUUCGAAACUGGCAGGCUUGAGUCUUGUAGAGGGGGUAGAAUUCCAGGUGUAGCGGUGAAAUGCGUAGAGAUCUGGAGGAAUACCGGUGGCGAAGGCGGCCCCCUGGACAAAGACUGACGCUCAGGUGCGAAAGCGUGGGGAGCAAACAGGAUAGAUACCCUGGUAGUCCACGCCGUAAACGAUGUCUACUUGGAGGUUGUGCCCUUGAGGCGUGGCUUCCGGAGCUAACGCGUUAAGUAGACCGCCUGGGGAGUACGGCCGCAAGGUUAAAACUCAAAUGAAUUGACGGGGGCCCGCACAAGCGGUGGAGCAUGUGGUUUAAUUCGAUGCAACGCGAAGAACCUUACCUGGUCUUGACAUCCACAGAACUUUCCAGAGAUGGAUUGGUGCCUUCGGGAACUGUGAGACAGGUGCUGCAUGGCUGUCGUCAGCUCGUGUUGUGAAAUGUUGGGUUAAGUCCCGCAACGAGCGCAACCCUUAUCCUUUGUUGCCAGCGGUUAGGCCGGGAACUCAAAGGAGACUGCCAGUGAUAAACUGGAGGAAGGUGGGGAUGACGUCAAGUCAUCAUGGCCCUUACGACCAGGGCUACACACGUGCUACAAUGGCGCAUACAAAGAGAAGCGACCUCGCGAGAGCAAGCGGACCUCAUAAAGUGCGUCGUAGUCCGGAUUGAGUCUGCAACUCGACUCCAUGAAGUCGGAAUCGCUAGUAAUCGUGGAUCAGAAUGCCACGGUGAAUACGUUCCCGGGCCUUGUACACACCGCCCGUCACACCAUGGGAGUGGGUUGCAAAAGAAGUAGGUAGCUUAACCUUCGGGAGGGCGCUUACCACUUUGUGAUUCAUGACUGGGGUGAAGUCGUAACAAGGUAACCGUAGGGGAACCUGCGGUUGGAUCACCUCCUUA
rnacentral:rRNA from 1 species